rnacentral:rRNA from 1 species
UACGUAGGGUGCGAGCGUUAAUCGGAUUUACUGGGCGUAAAGAGCGCGCAGGCGGCUGGUCAAGUCCGAUGUGAAAUCUCCCGGCUUAACUGGGAAACUGCAUCGGAAACUGAUCGGCUUGAAGGUGGGAGAGGGUAGUGGAAUUCCCGGUGUAGUGGUGAAAUGCGUAGAUAUCGGGAGGAACACCAGUGGCGAAGGCGACUACCUGGCCCAUUCUUGACGCUGAGGCGCGAAAGCUAGGGGAGCGAACGGG